UUUGCUGAAGUUACCAAGAUGGCUAUGUCAUACAUUUCCCAGAAUAUUACAGUAUUUCUACUGAGAAUGUCAGUGCUCAUUUGUGGGAGUGUGCAUGCACAUGAUGAGUGCCAGUGAGGUCAGGAUACGAGGGUUGGAUAUCUGAUUGCUCUGUCUGCCGGGGGUCAGAAGGGGGACAGGAGUGAGCGUGGCACUAAGGUUUUGUGGAGCAAAUUGGUUUUUGUGUAUAGGAUGAAAGGAGACACGGAGGAAAACUCCAGGGACACACUAAGAAAAUGAAGACAGACGUGGAGAGAGACGGGGAAGCGAGAUUUUUAGAGAGUUCACUCAAAAGAGCUAGCACAAAAUCUUAGCAUGCUAGACAGUUAUCUGUCCUGUCAAAGUCUACCUUUAAAACAGACACAUGCCGUCAGCUAAGGCCAGUGCAAAAUCUGCAAGCAACAAUAUACAAAAGAAAGACGAGACAACUUUCAGGCAGACAUUUGUCAAAGUACAUCAAUCACAUGCUCAGUGUGUAUGGGUUACGUCCAUGUGAAAAUGACUGUGUGUGCUUAGCUCACUGAUCUGAAAUGACCUUGUCCAGACCAAGACAGCUUCUGUACGCCUGCCAAAACACUUAACAAGCAAUUUAUGCUGAUUGUAAUAACGGGAGCAUGCUGUCAACAUUUAUUCACUAAAGAUGCACAUUAACUCAGAAUUCCCCUGACCCUUCAUUUGAGACAGCACAGUAGGGUGUUUGGAUAAGUCACCUCUCCCUGAUGAAAACAUAAGCACUGCAGCUGCUGUGUAAUCUAAUCUACAUUCUGCUUUCCUCUUCUUAGUGCAUUACCGACAGCACUACCUUUUAUAUGCCAAGAUUUAAUAGUCUUCAAGUACACCCCUUAACCUCUGCCCACUCCCUACCUCCACAAAAGAAUAGCCCACCGAUGACUGCAGAUGAGUUCAGCAGAGGACGCUUUUACUGAAACUGAGAGCACUACAGUAACCCAUCUACUCCCUCCUUUUCCUGUAACUCUGAAUAGGACUGAGACUCAUUAUAAAUAGAAUGGGCUUAGUGUUUGUUAUCUGUUCUAUGAUUGGCUGUUUGGGGUCUCUAUUAUGUUGUUUAUACUAUACAUAUCAGUGGUGUGUGAGGCGAAUAUCACUAUUUUUAUUAGGGUAUGGACAUUUAUGAGUUUCUAACCUUAUCUGUUUGGCUUAAUUUAGAAUAGCAUACUAUUUCUGCGUGAUGUUUUGUACGAAACUCAUUCCUCAACAUACACUGGCCAAAAUUAUAAAUGCAACACUUUUGUUUUU